UACGGAGGGUGCGAGCGUUGUCCGGAUUUAUUGGGUUUAAAGGGUGCGUAGGUGGGUUAAUAAGUCAGUGGUGAAAGCCCAUCGCUCAACGGUGGAACGGCCAUUGAUACUGCCAGACUUGAAUUAUUAGGAAGUAACUAGAAUAUGUAGUGUAGCGGUGAAAUGCUUAGAGAUUACAUGGAAUACCAAUUGCGAAGGCAGGUUACUACUAAUGGAUUGACGCUGAUGGACGAAAGCGUGGGUAGCGAACAGG
rnacentral:rRNA from 1 species